rnacentral:lncRNA from 1 species
UCAAAUAGUAGUCCAUUCCAACUUCAUUUUUCUGUAUUUACCUUAUUAACAUCUAAUAUAAUAAUUUACUGUUUUAUCAUGUAUUUUUCUGCUCUCCCAUUCUAGAAUGCAGGAUCUAUGAUGUUUUUGUCUCUAGUGUCUGAAGCCCCAACUCCUGGAAGAGUAAAUAGACAUAUAGUAAGCAUUCAAUAAGUAAUUGCUGAAUGAAUGAAUAAGUUAAUAGGUGGAUCUUAUCUCUUGACUGCUUGGAAUUGGUUGCUCCUCACCUUGCUGUCAUCUUGAUUCCUGGGCUUUACCUGCCCCUAACCAGACAGCAUCCUGCGUUACUCCUGACCUGAAUCACUGUCCUUUACUGCUGUAGACCUUAUGCUUGAUGGGUCAGGCCCUGAUACCUCCUUACUCUUCACCCACUUCCAGCACUGCCUGUUUUGCUCUGCCUCAUUGCCAGACACAACCUGGUAUAACACAUGAUUAUUCCUUUUCAGCUGCCUCCCAGCAUCUUCAUAUUUUUAGAAACCUGCUCAGAGUGAAUAAUUAUACAACUCAUUUGCACUGCAAUAUCUGGCACCAUGUGGAUCACUGAAAACUAAUAAUUUAAGUGAAUGGUUCUACUUCUAUAUUACGCAAGUACCCAUCAUCACUGGUGCAAGUACAUUGAAGGGCAAUUAGUGGGCGAGUAAAUAAUCAGAGUCAUGAUAAUUAAUAUUUAUUGAGCUUUUACUGUGUGUUGGGCACUUGGUCUGCUUUAUCUCUUUUCACAUUUUUUAUAUCCACUUUUGUCAACUUCAAUCAAGAGUUUGAAUUUCUGAAGUAGCCUUUCAAUCAUAAUCCACAUUUUUACCCUUUUCCCUUCCAAUACUGUUGUUCACAUUAUAAUCUCCCUGACUUUUAUAAGUAUUUUAAAAUGCUCCUGAGCCCUCUCACCAUAAUUAAUAAAAUCCAGACUCUUUAUCAGCAACCAAUGAUAAUACCUAACAUCAGCAGGUGCUUACUAUUUCAAGUCUUGCUUGAAGGCUUUAUGUAUAAUUAUCCUAUUUAAUGCCCUCAGAAAUCCAAUGAGGUAGAAAAAGAGGCAUGAAGAGGUUAAAUGGUUUUGUUCAGUGUCAUGCAUUUAAUAAGUGGUGGAGCUGGGAUCUGAACCCAGUCACAUCAUUCUGUUGUCCUGUUCCCCAAAUGAGUCAACUGGCUGAAUGUGCCCCCUCAACUUCAUCUCUCCCACGCCCUCUACCUCCCAAGCUGUACCCCAGACAUACAGGCUCACUUUCUCCUCCUGGAUCACGGGAAACUGAAUGUGCUGCCUCAGCCAGGCUUUCCUGGACUACCUAAUCUAAAGUGAAAUCCUCUCUCUUAGCAUCCAGUUCUGCCCCCCAACAGGAAUAGUUACAACUUAAGGAUUUUCUUACUCAUCCUCUUUGCCCACCACAUCUCUGUUUAAUGCAAAACAGCCUAGAGCUAGAGUGUUUUUGUUUCUUAAUAAACAUCCAUUGAAUCCAGUCAAGGACUGAAUGUCAUUGAAUCUUCACUUCUGAUUCUGAGGAAGUGCUACUCUUCAUUGACAGAGAUAGUAAAGAACCAGUCCAAGGUCAAAGAACCUGUAAGUGGUGAAGCUUGGAUUGGAAUCCCAACCCUUCUGGUGGCAGAGUACCAACCAGCAAUCUCUACUUCUUCCUUAGGUGCUCCAGGAUCUGAGACCCCUAAACAGGGAGAUUACUGAAGCAGCUGGCAGAUGGGCUUAAUAAUCUCCUCUAUAAUUAUCUGCAAAUUUGUAAACCUGGAAGUGAAAAAUAAAUCCUCCCUUCUCAGGUUUCUUUUUAGAGUGAUGACUGAAUGACCGAAUGGAGCCUCGUCGUGGGGGCUUGCACUGAGCAAAUCACAGCACAAGGAGGCAGCUAAUUGCCGAACUUGAUUGCAACUGCUAAUCACAGUCAUAAGGAAAAAAAAGUGUUGGGAAUUAAUUAGGCAAGGACCUUCCGAACAGCAGCAGGAAGCCUCCGAGUGACCUUUAUUUACAGUCAGUUAAACAGAAGUGUGACUAAAAAUGCCAGGGAGCAAAUCAGAUUAUUAAUAUUGAUUGCUUAAAGAAAAUGAAUAAUUUAGAAGCCUAGUCAGAAUAAAUAUCCAGUGACAGAGAUGAAAGAGCACAGCAUACCACAUUUCUAACAUUCAUCUGUCAUGCGGCAGUGUCCCCUGCUCGGAAAUUGAGAAUUUUCACCCUCACAAAGCACAAUUAGUUUCAUGACCCAGCAUGAUUGCCACUAAGAACUGUUCUCAUUCAGCCAAGCAUGGGGAAAAUCCAGGGUGUCGAACUAAGGCUUUUGUCAACACUUUGCAUGGUAAACUAAUUACAAGUUCAUGGAAGGUGUACUUUCCGAUUUUUAUCAAUAAAACAUCAACCAGAAGAAGGUGGAUUGCAUUUUCUGUGCUUACUGAGUAAAGCUCACAGGUUUCACUUUUUGAUGACUGUAUACCUUUUGUGGUGCAUAUACGACAGAAGUUUUCGAUGGGAAAGGCAAAGGUUUCAGAUUGCUUAUAAGUAAAGAUUUUCAGAGGUUAUCUCCAACUUGUAAUAAAAGUUGCCUUUCAUAUACUGGAGCCAGUUUUAUACCAUACUCCCCAGCAGUAUGCCUCUGUCCUAACUCCAUUUGAUGAUAAGACAGACAUAGAAUAUUUAUUUAUAGCGAGAUCUUGAACAGGUUCCUUUGAAUUACAUGUUUCCUUGCAGCAGUGAUUUCUGAGAUUUUUAUGCCAUGGUGAAGGAUUUAAGUUAUACUUAAAGUUAUACUCUUCUCUGCCUAGAAAUACUAAUUAAAUUUCCUGGUGAGGAGUUACUGCAAUAUUUAUGUUUCAGGGCAGUAGACAUUAAUAGUUUUGCUGAGGAGGAAACAUAUCUGAACUACCACAGUAGAAGAGAAUCCAGGCAUACUCACUUUGGAUAGGACUCAGAGAAAUUAAGCUCUGUUGCUAUCAGAUUAAUGUAGCAAAUUAACUAGCCAUGUUCAAGGCAGCCACGAUUUCUAUAUGACAGUAAACAUAAUUUGUAAACCAAUCAAUAAGGCAAGUUCAAAUCAUUCAUUUUCUCUAUCCAGUAUAGGCAUUAGUAUUCAUUUAUGCCCAUACUAAUUUAUGUCAUUCCCAUGAUGUAUCAAGUAUAGAUAUUAGCAUCAUUCCAUACACAUAAAAAAGAAACAGAUACCGAAAUGAAAUAUUUUCCAUUUCUAUACAGUGAAGAGAAUUGAAUUUUGUCCCUCUUUUAAACACAGUUGUUUGAAGUCCAUCCUCUUAGUUCUAGGCCAUAGGAAGUCAACAUAUGAUAAUCUUCUUAGGUGUUCCAUUGCCCUGUAGUUGGGAAGGCACCAAAUGCCAGCCUCAGUGAAGCUGAGAUAAUUUCGUGUGUGAAUUAUUGGUCUCAUUCUGUUGCCUGUUAGACUUUACCAAAUAUAGACUUUCAGUGAGACUCAAGACCAGCCCACUUAAGUUCCUAUGGUCAAGAAAAGUGGGUACUAAAGGUUGGAAGAUGGCAUCAAAUUUGGCUGAUACCUUCCAGUAUGGCUAGUAUUGAUGGGAUAUUUGAUGGGAUAUUUGUCAAACAUGAAUGAGUUCUCACUUCUCUGCAAUAGAUAGAAGUUCUCAGUAAUGGUGGUCCAAUCCUAAAGAAACUGGUUGGUUGCUUAUUUCCCAGUUAACAGAAAUUACAAUUGCUUUUGGCCUAUCCUAGGGAGCAGUAUACAUCUAUCUAGUUAUAUGAACUUUUUUCAUGAGAACUUAAAUUAAUAAAACGCUCCUUUUAGAGGGAAAAACUCCUGUGAAAAUCAGAUUCCUUAGUCCUCUAUGGUCAAGCACCUACAUGCCAGGACUUCAGGCCGAUAAUCCUCUGAUGAAAGAAUUUUCCUUCACUUGGUGUGUUGCUGGGAAAUGGAAGCUAGUAGAAGAUUUUUCUUUGCCCCACAAAUUUGGAAAAUAUCAUGAUAUAUAGGCUAUUUAUACUUAUUUCUGGUAUCUCUUCCUAGAUGUUUUAAAUUAGCUUGUUCUUUUUUUUUAAUACAUGCAAAACUGUUGCUCAAAGGAAAUGCAACAACAAAAUGCAGAGAGCGUUAAUUAAAUGCCAGCAUAAAGCCUUAAUUGCAUCUGAUGUUCAAGUAAUAUCGUUUUUACUGAGGUGUGCUGAAUGAUUCAGGUAGUUGGCAGGUGGGCUACCACAGUCACUAGAUGGUGAGGGGAUUUUAUGGGCUCUCAUUUGCAUCUAGAUACUAGCAUGCUCACCGUGGCAACCUUUCUUCUCCAAAGCUUUCAUUUUUCAGAAAAACUAAACCAUGCAGAAUUAUGGCCUCUCUUUUCGAUGCCAGAAGCCUCCCUAGAAUGGGACUAGACUGUGGAGAAUGGGACUAGACUAUGGGUACAAAGUGGAGCUCACUUUUUCUCAUUCUGUUCCGAUUUCCAGACAACAAAAUGAUUCAGGUUCUUUGGAAAAAGCAAUGAUGUGCAAAUGUGCCUCUUUUCACACAUGCAUGCUAACAUUAAAGACAUGACCUGACCGAAUGGCAUUCUUAGAUUUCUUCCUUUUGCUACUAGAGGGUGGUGAUUUUCAUGUUAAUUGUAUGUCAGUUGUAACGGGGAGGCCUGGCUUUACAUGCAGAUGUGCCCUAUUCCUUUCCAUUAUGAGAGACAAGUAAUGUGAUUGCAAUAAUUCCUGCUAUCAGAUUAUAAAAACAGCAUCUUUAGAAUUUGUAAAUGUGCUGUUUUUAUUUUAUCCCUUUGUUUAUACACAGAUUAAAGCACAAUCCCCCAUGGCCACAGCCUGUAAUUGAGUAGCAUGUUCCAAGGCUGCCACAAAGCAAUGGAGCAGUGCUUGAGUGACUUCAAAAUAGAGUCAACACCUGAGGAAUAAAUUUUCUCCUUUGUCUUUGCCAUGGAUGUCAAUGUUUUGAAAAUGUUGAAAAGAAACAGUAAAAAUGAUGUUAUUUAAUGAGUAAAGAAAUGUAGCUAGUCACUAUACUGCCUGCUACAGGAAAGAAAGUUUUUUCAAUAUUACUUGAAGGAUUUAGGGGGUUGGGGUAGAUAUUUUCCAUUUAAUUAAUUUCAUCAUAAUUUGCUUAGCUUUCUGUAGCAGAUCAUCAGAUUGAAAUUGCAGUAUGUUUCUUUGUCUUUUUUAUCCCCCUGUAGUCUCAGCAUAAUUCAGAACUAGGGAGAAGCGAUUCUUCUGCACUUUACAUGCAAGUCACAGUUUCCUUAUUGGGUUCCAAAAGAUCCUAGGUCUCCAAGCUCCAGUACACAGCUGCCACUGCAUAUGUUGCUGCUGAAAACUAAAACUUGCUGAAAUAAUCAUUCCCUAUGUUUUUAAGAGCCUGUGUUUAAAGUACUACUUGACACAUCUCAUUUCUUUAGGGAACUUGAGUUUAUACUGCAAAACAGCAGAGCCUAUAAAAGCCUAAGAUUUCUCUAUUUUUCCUGUUUAAUAUUGGAUAUUAUAAACAAUCUUUAGGAUCACUAAUAAGAUUCUUUUGAGCUUGAGGUCUGUAUUAGUUUAGUUUCUAGCGUGCAAGACACAAAUAUAAAUUAAGACCAUGUAGUGAAUAUAAAAUUUGAAUACUUUUUUGUACACAUGAUUUAAAAAUUUGAAUUUUGGAUUUUCCGUUGUGGCGUGGUGGUUAACGAACCCAGCUGGGAACCAUGAGGUUGCAGGUUUGAUCCCUGGCCUCGCUCAGUGGGUUAAGGAUCCGGCAUUGCUGUGAGCUGUGGUGUAGGUCGCUGACACGGCUCGGAUCCCUCGUUGAUUUGCUCUGGCGUAGGUUGGCGUUUACAGCUCCGAUUAGACUCCUAGUCUGGGAACCUCCAUAUGCC